AUACUACGGUAGGAAGAUUUUUAUGACUGAGUGGCGGACGGGUGAGUAACGCGUGGGUAACCUGCCUCAUACAGGGGGAUAACAGUUAGAAAUGGCUGCUAAUACCGCAUAAGCGCACAGUACUGCAUGGUACAGUGUGAAAAACUCUGGUGGUAUGAGAUGGACCCGCGUCUGAUUAGCUAGUUGGUGAGGUAAGGGCUCACCAAGGCAACGAUCAGUAGCCGACCUGAGAGGGUGAACGGCCACAUUGGGACUGAGACACGGCCCAAACUCCUACGGGAGGCAGCAGUGGGGAAUAUUGCACAAUGGGGGGAACCCUGAUGCAGCGACGCCGCGUGAAGGAAGAAGUAUUUCGGUAUGUAAACUUCUAUCAGCAGGGAAGAAAAUGACGGUACCUGACUAAGAAGCCCCGGCUAACUACGUGCCAGCAGCCGCGGUAAUACGUAGGGGGCAAGCGUUAUCCGGAUUUACUGGGUGUAAAGGGAGCGUAGGCGGCAGUGCAAGUCAGAAGUGAAAGCCCAAGGCUCAACCAUGGGACUGCUUUUGAAACUGUACAGCUAGAUUGCAGGAGAGGUAAGUGGAAUUCCUAGUGUAGCGGUGAAAUGCGUAGAUAUUAGGAGGAACACCAGUGGCGAAGGCGGCUUACUGGACUGUAAAUGACGCUGAGGCUCGAAAGCGUGGGGAGCAAACAGGAUUAGAUACCCUGGUAGUCCACGCUGUAAACGAUGAAUACUAGGUGUCAGGGAGCAAAAGCUCUUUGGUGCCGC
rnacentral:rRNA from 1 species